CAAAAGCUGACUCUCGUCAUGCUAUUUGUGACAUUUAUUCGAAAAUCAACAUGAUAAAAUACCACAUUGUAAUUUAGACUAUAUAAGUUGUAUUUAUCACAUAAAACUUGUAAUUAUGAAUAAUGCAGUUUAGAGGCUAUCAAAAGUUUGACACAAUGGCGGGACACUAAAACCAUGUUUUCGUGCACAACCAACUUCAAUCUGCCAACCGACCAUGACUAAGUGACAUUACAAAAUUCAUGUGACUUCAAAUAUGUUACCAACAAACAGUCUGUUGCCAAAUUUUUAAAGCUGAUAAAGAAUUGCUCACCAUGCCUGCAACAUCCUGCAAGUGGUCCUUCAGCUCUACGAAGCAUAUUACAUUCGCUCUACCAUAGAAGUGGAUCGCCUUACACACUUGCAAUGCUCCAUAUAAACGGGGAAAGUGUAGUGGACAUUGAAAAAAUUAUCAACGCUUUUGCCUCUACCAAGAGUGGGAACAUGCAGUUCCUCUAACCAAACUUCAACUAUGAAAGUGAAUUGC